rnacentral:rRNA from 1 species
CGUAGGGUGCGAGCGUUAAUCGGAAUUACUGGGCGUAAAGCGUGCGCAGGCGGUUUUGUAAGACAGAUGUGAAAUCCCCGGGCUCAACCUGGGACCUGCAUUUGUGACUGCAAGGCUAGAGUACGGUAGAGGGGGAUGGAAUUCCGCGUGUAGCAGUGAAAUGCGUAGAUAUGCGGAGGAACACCGAUGGCGAAGGCAAUCCCCUGGACCUGUACUGACGCUCAUGCACGAAAGCGUGGGGAGCAAACAGGAUUAGAUACCCUGGUAGUCCACGCCCUAAACGAUGUCAACUGGUUGUUGGGUCUUUACUGACUCAGUAACGAAGUUAACGCGUGAAGUUGACCGCCUGGGGAGUACGGCCGCAAGGUUG